rnacentral:rRNA from 1 species
UACGUAGGGGGCAAGCGUUGUCCGGAAUCAUUGGGCGUAAAGAGCGUGUAGGCGGUCCGGUAAGUCCGCUGUGAAAGUCGGGGGCUCAACCCUCGAAUGCCGGUGGAUACUGUCGGGCUAGAGUGCGGAAGAGGCGAGUGGAAUUCCUGGUGUAGCGGUGAAAUGCGCAGAUAUCAGGAGGAACACCAAUGGCGAAGGCAGCUGCGCUGGAACGGUACUGACGCGUGGAGGCGAGCGAAAGCGUGGGGAGCAAACAGG